UUAAGUGACUAAGCGUAUACGGUGGAUGCCUAGGCGGUAGAAGGCGAUGAAGGACGUAGUAACUUGCGAUAAGCUGGGGGGAGUUAGUAAACAAGCAUUAUUAUCCCCAGAUUUCCGAAUGGGAAAACCCAACCUAUUUAUAGGUUAUCCCCCACUGUUAAGGUGUGGGGAGGCAAACCAGGAGAACUGAAACAUCUAAGUACCCUGAGGAAAAGAAAUCAACCGAGAUUCCCUAAGUAGCGGCGAGCGAACGGGGACCAGCCCUAAACGGAUUAUUAAAGUAGCAGAACAAGUUGGGAAGCUUGACGAUACAAGGUGAUAGUCCUGUAUGCGAAACUUUAUUAGUCCUUAUUCGAGUAGGACGGAACACGUGAAAUUCUGUUUGAAGAUGGGGGGACCACCCUCCAAGGCUAAAUACUCUCUACCGACCGAUAGUGAACCAGUACCGUGAGGGAAAGGCGAAAAGAACCCCUGAAGGGGAGUGAAAUAGAACCUGAAACCGUGUACGUACAAGCAGUAGGAGCAUACUCGAGUGUGACUGCGUACCUUUUGUAUAAUGGGUCAGCGACUUACAUUAUGUAGCCAGGUUAACCGAAUAGGGGAGCCGAAGGGAAACCGAGUCUUAAAUGGGCGUUUAGUUGCAUGGUGUAGACCCGAAACCGGGCGAUCUAUCCAUGGCCAGGUUGAAGGUUGGGUAACACCAACUGGAGGACCGAACCCACGUAUGUUGAAAAAUGCGGGGAUGAGCUGUGGAUCGGAGUGAAAGGCUAAUCAAGCCCGGAGAUAGCUGGUUCUCCUCGAAAACUAUUUAGGUAGUGCCUCAUGUCUCACUGUUGGGGGUAGAGCACUGUUAUGGUCUAGCGGUCCGUCAAGGAUUAGCAGCCCAUUGCAAACUCCGAAUACCAACAAGUGCAAUCAUGGGAGACAGACUGCGGGUGCUAACGUCCGUAGUCAAGAGGGAAACAACCCAGACCGCCAUCUAAGGUCCCUAAACGAUACUAAGUGGGAAAGGAUGUGGGAAGGCUUAGACAGUCAGGAGGUUGGCUUAGAAGCAGCCACCCUUUAAAGAAAGCGUAAUAGCUCACUGAUCGAGUCGGCCUGCGCCGAAGAUUUAACGGGGCUAAGUAUCGUACCGAAGAUGCGGAUGCAUGUUUACAUGCAUGGUAGAGGAGCGUUCUGUAAGCCUGCGAAGGGGCAUUGUAAAGUGUCCUGGAGGUAUCAGAAGUGCGAAUGCUGACAUGAGUAGCGAUAAAGGGAGUGAAAAGCUCCCUCGCCGAAAGACCAAGGUUUCCUACGCAACGCUAAUCGACGUAGGGUUAGUCGACCCCUAAGACGAGGCCGAGAGGCGUAGUCGAUGGGAAGCAGGUUAAUAUUCCUGCACUAUUUAUAACUGCGAUGGAGGGACGGAGAAGGUUAGGCCAGCAUGGCGAUGGUUGUCCAUGUUUAAGCGCUUAGGCAGAGAUUUUAGGCAAAUCCGGAAUCUUAAUGCUGAAACGUGAUGACGAGUCCUCUUUUGGACGAAGUGGUUGAUACCCUGCUUCCAAGAAAAUCUUCUAAGCUUCAGGUUAUAAAUAAUCGUACCCCAAACCAACACAGGUGGUCAGGAUGAGUAUUCCAAGGCGCUUGAGAGAACUCUGGUGAAGGAACUAGGCAAAAUGGUACCGUAACUUCGGGAGAAGGUACACCCACGCAAGUGGGCCGCAGUGAAAUGGUGGCUGCAACUGUUUACUAAAAACAUAGCACUCUGCAAAAUCGAAAGAUGACGUAUAGGGUGUGACGCCUGCCCGGUGCCGGAAGGUUAAUUGAUGGGGUUAGCAUCUGCGAAGCUCUUGAUCGAAGCCCCGGUAAACGGCGGCCGUAACUAUAACGGUCCUAAGGUAGCGAAAUUCCUUGUCGGGUAAGUUCCGACCUGCACGAAUGGCGUAAUGAUGGCCACACUGUCUCCACCAGAGACUCAGCGAAAUUGAAAUCGCAGUUAAGAUGCUGCGUACCCGCGGCUAGACGGAAAGACCCCGUGAACCUUUACUACAGCUUUGCACUGGACUUUGACCUAACUUGUGUAGGAUAGGUGGGAGGCUUUGAAACUGUGUCGCCAGAUGCA
rnacentral:rRNA from 1 species